UACGUAGGGUGCAAGCGUUGUCCGGAAUUAUUGGGCGUAAAGAGCUCGUAGGCGGUUUGUUGCGUCGGCUGUGAAAUCCCGAGGCUCAACCUCGGGUCUGCAGUCGAUACGAGCAAACUAGAGUGUUGCAGGGGAGACUGGAAUUCCUGGUGUAGCGGUGAAAUGCGCAGAUAUCAGGAGGAACACCGGUGGCGAAGGCGGCUCUCUGGGACGGUACUGACGCUGAGACGCGAAAGCGUGGGGAGCGAACAGG
rnacentral:rRNA from 1 species